rnacentral:rRNA from 1 species
AACCAGACUCCUACGGGAGGCAGCAGUGGGGAAUAUUGGGCAAUGGGCGCAAGCCUGACCCAGCAACGCCGCGUGAAGGAAGAAGGCUUUCGGGUUGUAAACUUCUUUUCUGGGGGACGAAGAAAGUGACGGUACCCCAGGAAUAAGCCACGGCUAACUACGUGCCAGCAGCCGCGGUAAUACGUAGGGAGCAAGCGUUGUCCGGAAUUACUGGGUGUAAAGGGAGCGUAGGCGGGAAUGCAAGUUGGAAGUGAAAGGUAUGGGCUCAACCCAUGAACUGCUUUCAAAACUGUAUUUCUUGAGUGAAGUAGAGGCAGGCGGAAUUCCUAGUGUAGCGGUGAAAUGCGUAGAUAUUAGGAGGAACACCAGUGGCGAAGGCGGCCUGCUGGGCUUUAACUGACGCUGAGGCUCGAAAGCGUGGGUAGCAAACAGGAUUAGAUACCCCUGUA